CAGUCGCCACGGUAAUACGUAGGUGCCAAGCGUUGUCCGGAAUUAUUGGGCGUAAAGGGCUCGCAGGCGGUUUCUUAAGUCUGAUGUGAAAGCCCCCGGCUCAACCGGGGAGGGUCAUUGGAAACUGGGAAACUUGAGUGCAGAAGAGGAGAGUGGAAUUCCACGUGUAGCGGUGAAAUGCGUAGAGAUGUGGAGGAACACCAGUGGCGAAGGCGACUCUCUGGUCUGUAACUGACGCUGAGGAACGAAAGCGUGGGGAGCGAACAGGAUUAGAUACCCCAGUAGUCCCUGUCUCUUAUAA
rnacentral:rRNA from 1 species